UCUCUUUCUCUCUCCUUGCCUCACCGCGAGUUAUCUACACACGGUAGGCUAUUUAAGAUCAUGAAACAACGCAAUUCUGUCGUGUUUCUGGCGGUGUUUUUUUUUUUUCUUACAUUAAAGGAUCAGCCACUGAACAGAUCUCCAACGCCUCAAGAAAAUGAUUCACGAGCAUGUUUUGUUCUGUUUGUAUCUUCUACCUCUGAUUGGCGCUGAGACAGAUGAGAUCGUGUCAGCGAUGCAGGGAGAUUCUUUCACUCUCCGAACUGGUUUUACUGAAAGACAGGACGAUCUUGAGUGGAGGUUUGGAUCGAGCAGAACUUUGUUUAUCAAAAUAAAGUCAGGAAACAUCAUUACAAUCGGUGACACGAUAUUCAGAGACAGACUGCUGCUCGACAGUCAGACUGGAGAUCUCACCAUCACAAACAUCACUAAUGAACACACUGGAGUUUAUGAACUAAGUGACGAUGUUGUAAAUAAUGUCUUAAAAUUCAAUUGUCACUGUUUAUGCUCCUGUGCCUGUUCCUGUCAUCACCAGAUACUCUCCUCAGUGUUCAUCAUCAUCAUCA